rnacentral:misc_RNA from 1 species
CAGGACUCGCAAGACUCCCGUAACCCAUGUGAAUCUUACCUUUGCAUCGUUGCCUCGGCGGGUGCGCCUGGUCUCCAGGCGCCUCGGACCCCCGCCGGCGGCCUACAACUCUUCUGCUUCUCAAGCGUUGGCAUCUCCGAGUAAAAACACAAACGAAUCA